UACGAAGGGGGCUAGCGUUGUUCGGAAUUACUGGGCGUAAAGCGCACGUAGGCGGCUAUUUAAGUCAGCGGUGAAAGCCCAGAGCUCAACUCUGGAAUGGCCUUUGAGACUAGAGAACUAGGGUACGGGAGAGGUGAGUGGAAUUCCGAGUGUAGAGGUGAAAUUCGUAGAUAUUCGGAAGAACACCAGUGGCGAAGGCGGCUCACUGGCCCGUUACCGACGCUCAGGCGCGACAGCGUGGGGAGCAAACAGG
rnacentral:rRNA from 1 species